GACGAACGCUGGCGGCGUGCUUAACACAUGCAAGUCGAACGAUGAACCCGGAGCUUGCUCUGGGGGAUUAGUGGCGAACGGGUGAGUAACACGUGAGUAACCUGCCCUGGACUCUGGGAUAAGCGUUGGAAACGACGUCUAAUACCGGAUAGGACCUUGGAUCGCAUGAUCUGGGGUGGAAAGUUUUUUCGGUCUGGGAUGGACUCGCGGCCUAUCAGCUUGUUGGUGAGGUAAUGGCUCACCAAGGCGUCGACGGGUAGCCGGCCUGAGAGGGUGACCGGCACAGCUGGGCAUGAGCCCCGGACCAGCCUCCUACGGGGGGCAGGAUGGGGGAAUAUGGCACAAUGGGGGAAAGCCUGAUGCAGCAACGCCGGGGGCGGGAGGGCGGCCUUCGGGUUUUAAACCCCUUUGAGGAGGGAAAAAGGGCUUCGGCUUGGCGGGCCCUGCAGAAAAAGGACGGGCGAACUACGU
rnacentral:rRNA from 1 species